GGAAACGGUUACAAUGUUUUUUAAUAAGCGUUCCCCAUCAGUCUCUCUGGGCUGUGGGCACAGAAAGGGGGCCCCACGCGUGGGGGAGGGGUAGGAGGAGAGGGGUAAGCUGGGGGACCAGGAGGGAAGAAGAGGGGGUCCAUCUGUGGCUCGAGGCACCCGUGGUUGGGGGGUGGUGUUGGUGGAGGACGUGAAAAAAAAAAAAAAAACGAGUGAGAGACAAGGUUGGGGAGAAAGCUCGUUGGGGUCAUGUGAGUGAGAGGAGACCGGGAAGCAAGCUCCUUGAGCUAACACGGUUGCCAUGGCAACGUGGCAGCGAGGAACAGGAAGCAGCAGAAAAUAGAAUCGCAUUCUGCUGAGGCCUGCACGAGCCAGGGCCCCCUCCCAGCCCGCAGGAGACGGUUACCAGGGAGACCUCGGUGAAAGGGAGGCUGCGGCGCGCGGCCCCGUCCCUCUCUUCUGCCUCCUGCCUCCCUCCUCCUGCCCCGGCCUCGCGGGCGGCUCGUUAGAGCCUGCGGCUCGCGGGCACCUUCUCAGGGAGCAGGAUGCGGGGUGGAGAUACAGAACUUGGAAAGGACCUUAAAUGUCACCCAGAUGAGGUGUAACUGAGACCCAGAGAGAUUAAGUGAACUGGCUAGCUUUCCUACUGAUGCACAGCAGGGCAAGAGCCUCGGGGUCCAGGAGAAAGGAAAUGUCAGCUUUGGCCAUUGACUGGUUUGGUUCCCAGUUCUCCAGAAAAUCGAAUGGAGGUAGGGAGCACUCUGUUCCUAAAGAGAAAGCUGUUAUGGUGAUCUUGAAGCUUCAGUAUGAAAAAAGGAGAAGAAAGAAGAUGUCAUUUUUAUGCAUAGGGAGUCAAGAUAAAUCACACCUGGGGUCCAACCCUUGCAAAAUUUGUACACAAGUUAAGAAAUUAAAGAAGGGUUUCUUAAGCUUU